rnacentral:rRNA from 1 species
UGCCAUUGGAUGAGCCCAUGUGGGAUUAGCUGGUUGGUGGGGUAAAGGCCUACCAAGGCGACGAUCUCUAGCUGGUCUGAGAGGAUGACCAGCCACACUGGGACUGAGACCGGCCCAGACUCCUACGGGAGGCAGCAGUGGGGAAUAUUGCACAAUGGGGGGAACCCUGAUGCAGCCAUGCCGCGUGUAUGAAGAAGGCCUUCGGGUUGUAAAGUACUAUCGGUAAUGAGAAGUUGUUGUGGUGAUAAGCUGCAGCAAUUGACGUUAGUUACAGAAGAAGCACCGGCUAACUCCGUGCCAGCAGCCGCGGUAAUACGGAGGGUGCGAGCGUUAAUCGGAAUGACUGGGCGUAAAGGGCAUGCAGGCGGGUAAUUAAGUCGUAUGUGAAAUCCCCGGGCUCAACCUGGGAAUGGCAUAUGAAACUGGUUAUCUAGAGUAUUGUAGAGGGGGGUAGAAUUCCACGUGUAGCGGUGAAAUGCGUAGAGAUGUGGAGGAAUACCGGUGGCGAAGGCGGCCCCCUGGACAAAUACUGACGCUCAAAUGCGAAAGCGUGGGGAGCAAACAGGAUUAGAUACCCUGGUAGUCCA